rnacentral:rRNA from 1 species
CAGCACCUCAAGUGGUCAGGAUGAUUAUUGGGCCUAAAGCAUCCGUAGCCGGCGCUGUAAGUUUUCGGUUAAAUCUGUACGCUCAACGUACAGGCUGCCGGGAAUACUGCAGCGCUAGGGAGUGGGAGAGGUAGACGGUACCCGGUAGGAUGGGGUAAAAUCCUUUGAUCUAUUGAUGACCACCUGUGGCGAAGGCGGUCUACCAGAACACGUCCGACGGUGAGGGAUGAAAGCUAGGGGAUCAAAACGGAUUAGAUACCCGAGUAGUCC